GACCUAGUAGCGGAAUGAAUCGCACCGGCACUUGAUAAGAUAGUUGCGAGGUUUAUACUUGCGGGAGUUCCUGGUUCGAAUCCAGGCUAGGUCA